rnacentral:rRNA from 1 species
GAUGAACGCUAGCUACAGGCUUAACACAUGCAAGUCGAGGGGUAACGAGAGGAAAGCUUGCUUUCCUUGUCGACGACCGGCGCACGGGUGAGUAACGCGUAUCCAACCUGCCCCCAACUAGGGAAUAACCUUGCGAAAGUAAGACUAAUACCCUAUAAUUUCCUCAGAUGUCAUCUGACGAGGAACAAAGAUUUAUCGGUUGUGGAUGGGGCUGCGUCUGAUUAGCUUGUUGGCGGGGUAACGGCCCACCAAGGCAACGAUCAGUAGGGGUUCUGAGAGGAAGGUCCCCCACAGUGGAACUGAGACACGGUCCAAACUCCUACGGGAGGCAGCAGUGAGGAAUAUUGGUAAAUGGGCGGAAGCCUGAACCAGCCAAGUAGCGUGCAGGAUGACGGCCCUAUGGGCUGUAAACUGCUUUUAUGCAGGAAUAAAGUUAGCCACGUGUGGUUAUUUGUAGGUACUGUAUGAAUAAGGACCGGCUAAUUCCGUGCCAGCCGCCGCAGUAA